UACGGGGGGUGCGAGCGUUGUCCGGAAUCACUGGGCGUAAAGGGCGCGUAGGUGGUUUGAUAAGGGUGUGGUGAAAGUCCGGGGCUCAACCCCGGAUCUGCCGUGCCGACUGUCAAACUCGAGGACUGUAGAGGCAGACGGAAUUCCGGGUGUAGCGGUGGAAUGCGUAGAGAUCCGGAGGAAGACCGGUGGCGAAGGCAGCUCUCUGGGACGGUACUGACGCUGAGACGCGAAAGCGUGGGGAGCGAACAGG
rnacentral:rRNA from 1 species